rnacentral:rRNA from 1 species
GAAAGCGACGCUAAUACCGGAUGACAUCUUAAGAACCUCGGUUUUUUUGAUCAAAGGUGGCCUCUACAUGUAAGCUACUGUUUGAGGAUGAGCCCGCGUCCCAUUAGCUAGUUGGUAGGGUAACGGCCUACCAAGGCGACGAUGGGUAGCUGGUCUGAGAGGAUGAUCAGCCACACUGGAACUGACACACGGUCCAGACUCCUACGGGAGGCAGCAGUGAGGAAUUUUGCGCAAUGGGGGAAACCCUGACGCAGCAACGCCGCGUGAGUGAUGAAGGCUUUCGGGUCGUAAAACUCUGUCAAGUGGGAAGAACCACCGUGAGGUUAAUACCCUCAUGGUCUGACGGUACCACUGAAGGAAGCACCGGCUAACUCCGUGCCAGCAGCCGCGGUAAUACGGGGGGUGCAAGCGUUAUUCGGAUUUACUGGGCGUAAAGGGCGCGUAGGCGGCCGUUUAAGUCAGAUGUGAAAGCCCGGGGCUCAACCCCGGAAGUGCAUUUGAUACUAUUCGGCUUGAGUAUGGGAGAGGGAAGUGGAAUUCCUGGUGUAGAGGUGAAAUUCGUAGAUAUCAGGAGGAACACCGGUGGC